rnacentral:rRNA from 1 species
GACGAACGCUGGCGGCGUGCUUAACACAUGCAAGUCGAACGGUGAUGCUCCAGCUUGCUGGAGUGGAUCAGUGGCGAACGGGUGAGUAACACGUGAGCAACCUGCCCCAGACUCUGGAAUACGCGCUGGAAACGGCGUCUAAUACUGGAUACGAAACUGGCCCGCAUGGGAAUGUUUGGGAAAGUUUUUCGGUUUGGAAUGGGCUCGCGGCCUAUCAGCUUGUUGGUGAGGUAAUGGCCCACCAAGGCGACGACGGGUAGCCGGCCUGAGAGGGCGACCGGCCACACUGGGACUGAGGCACGGCCCAGACUCCUACGGGAGGCAGCAGUGGGGAAUAUUGCACAAUGGGCGAAAGCCUGAUGCGGCGACGCCGCGUGAGGGAUGACGGCCUUCGGGUUGUAAACCUCUUUCAGCAGGGAAGAAGCGAAAGUGACGGUACCUGCAGAAGAAGCACCGGCUAACUACGUG